rnacentral:lncRNA from 1 species
GUGAAUCUUCACUUCAGAUAUUCUACUUAUCAGCUCUAUUUGUUUUUUUAAUAGUGUCUCUACUGAGAUUUUUUUAAAUUUAUUUCAAUCAUAUUUUCUCUGAUGUUAAUGAGUACAUAUAAUAACUACUUUGAAAUCUUAUCUAUGUAUUCCAACAUUCAGACCAAGUAGGGAUCAGUCUUCAGUGAUAGUGUUUUCUGUUGAAAAUAGCUCACAUUUUCCUGGAUCUUUCUGUGUUGAAUAUUUUUGGAUUAUAUUCUGCCUGGUACCCACUUUAGUCAAGAACACAUUCCAAUGCUCAGAUGAGGUUAGAGAGAAAAUGA